UUUUUUUUUAAUUGUUUCUUUUAGUGUGGCGUUUCAGGUGAAGAGAAGGAUAGAUUUGGUUUAUGGGGGAGGGAGUGUGGGAUUGAUGGGUUUGAUCUCCCAAGCUGUUUAUGAUGGAGGCUGCCAUGUUCUUGGUUCUCUGUCAGAGUUUGGUGUCCUUGGAUUCGAGUUGGGUUAUUCAAUGGAAAAUCCAAAUUCAUUGGUUGUGUGAGAAGCAGUUGAUACAUGUCUUGUUGUCAUCUGAUAGGGAAGAAGACAAUUGAACUUGAAAUAUGCAUUGGACAGAAUGGUAACACUGGAAAUAUAAAAGCUACCAAGCGUAGUAUGUCAUCAGGUUUAGAGAUGAAGCUUGAUGAGCUGCGGAAAGAGCUCUCUUCAAGUCAUGAGGGAAUAUUGCCACAUACCAUUCUUUCCACCCAAUAGAUCAGCACGUAAAGCGCUGAAAAACCAACUUCCAUGGAGCAGCUAAGGACUAGCCUGGUUCUGGCUAUUAUAGGAGCAAUUUUCAAAGGGCUAAUGGUGGGUGAUCCACUCUUCUCGUUGCAUACAAGUGGGGCAAUCCAGAGUUCAAAUCACUUCAGCCUUUUGACACCACUCGUGCUAGGAGUAGACCAUAUAGAGGAUUUGUUUUUAUUUAUUUAUUUACAUUCAAGACCAUUCAUUGUAAUAUUUUUUUUUAUUGUGUGGUAAUAUAAAUUUUGUUUAAUAUUCA